AAAUGAAUAGACGGGGACCCGCACAAGCGGUGGAGCAUGUGGUUUAAUUCGAAGCAACGCGAAGAACCUUACCAGCUCUUGACAUCAUCUGACCACCCUAGAGAUAGGGCUUUCCCUUCGGGGACAGAUAGACAGGUGGUGCAUGGUUGUCGUCAGCUCGUGUCGUGAGAUGUUGGGUUAAGUCCCAUAACGAGCGCAACCCUUAUUGUUAGUUGCCAGCAUUCAGUUGGGCACUCUAGCGAGACUGCCGGUGAUAAACCGGAGGAAGGUGGGGAUGACGUCAAAUCAUCAUGCCCCUUAUGAGCUGGGCUACACACGUGCUACAAUGGACGGUACAACGAGUUGCGACCCCGCAAGGGUGAGCGAAUCUUAAUAAGCCGUUCUCAGUUCGGAUUGUUCUCUGCAACUCGAGAGCAUGAAGCCGGAAUCGCUAGUAAUCGCGGAUCAGAAUGCCGCGGUGAAUACGUUCCCGGGUCUUGUACACACCGCCCGU
rnacentral:rRNA from 1 species